UCUGGUUGCAAUGCGUUUAGGACUGGGA
rnacentral:piRNA from 1 species